GAUGAACGCUGGCGGCGUGCUUAACACAUGCAAGUCGAACGAUGAAGCCCAGCUUGCUGGGUGGAUUAGUGGCGAACGGGUGAGUAACACGUGAGUAACCUGCCCUUAACUCUGGGAUAAGCCUGGUAAACUGGGUCUAAUACCUGAUAGGAGCGUCCACCGCAUGGUGGGUGUUGGAAAGAUUUAUCGGUUUUGGCUGGACUCGCGGCCUAUCAGCUUGUUGGUGAGGUAAUGGCUCACCAAGGCGACGACGGGUAGCCGGCCUGAGAGGGUGACCGGCGACCAUGGGCCUGCGAGACGGACCAGACUGCUAUGGGAGGCAGAAGUGGGGAAUCUUGCAGAAUGGGGGCAAGCCUGAUGCAGCGACGCCGCGUGCGGGAUGCCGGCCUUCGGGUUGUAAACCUCUUUCAGUAGGGAAGAAGCGAAAGUGACGGUACCUGCAGAAGAAGCACCGGCUAACUACGUG
rnacentral:rRNA from 1 species